GCCUACUGUUUAAUUUUGAGGGUUCGUUUUUACGAAUACUCAAAAUUAGCACUUUUAGCAACAGAAUAAACUGAACGCAUGUGAAGUUUGUUUGUUGGCGCUGUGCGUUAGCACUUUGAAAACUGCAUAUAUAUUUAGUGAUAUGACAUCUAAUUUGUAAUAUAUAAAGCUGAUAACUUUUUAAAAUUAUCGAAGUUGAUAGCUUCUAAUCUAUCAAACCUUUUUAACUGGUCAA
rnacentral:misc_RNA from 1 species